AUUGAACGCUGGCGGCAGGCCUAACACAUGCAAGUCGAGCGGAUGAAGGGAGCUUGCUCCUGGAUUCAGCGGCGGACGGGUGAGUAAUGCCUAGGAAUCUGCCUGGCAGUGGGGGAUAAUGUCCGGAAACGGGCGCUAAUACCGCAUACGUCCUGAGGGAGAAAGUGGGGGAUCUUCGGACCUCACGCUAUCAGAUGAGCCUAGGUCGGAUUAGCUAGUUGGUGGGGUAAAGGCCUACUAAGGCGACGAUCCGUAACUGGUCUGAGAGGAUGAUCAGUCACACUGGAACUUGGACACGGUCCAGACUCCUACGGGAGGCAGCAGUGGGGAAUAUUGGGCAAUAGUCGAGAGCCUUGUCCAGCCAUGCCGCGUGUGUUAAGAAGGUCUUCGGAUUGUAAAGCACUUUAAGUUGGGAGGAAGGGCAGUAAGUUAAUACCUUGCUGUUUUGACGUUACCAACAGAAUAAGCACCGGCUAACUUCGUG
rnacentral:rRNA from 1 species